GCCAGGCAUAGUGGUGCAUGCCUGUAGUCCCAGCUACUUGGGGGGCUGAGGCAGGAGGAUCGCUUGAGCCCGGGAGGUCAAGGCUGCAGUGAGCUGUGAUUGUAGCACUAUACCCCAGCCUGGGUGACAAAGUAAGACCCUGUCUCUC
rnacentral:sRNA from 1 species